CAGCAGCCGCGGUAAGACGAACCGUGCGAACGUUAUUCGGAAUCAUUGGGCUUAAAGCGCGUGUAGGCGGAUGGGAACGUCGGUCGCUGAAAUACCCCGGCUCAACCGGGGAACUGGCAUCGAAACGACCCGUCUCGAGGGGCAUAGGGGGAGCUGGAACUUCCGGUGGAGCGGUGAAAUGCGUUGAGAUCGGAAGGAACGCCCGUGGCGAAAGCGAGCUCCUGGAUGUCUUCUGACGCUGAGACGCGAAAGCUAGGGUAGCGAACGGGAUUAGAUACCCCAGUAGUCCCUGUCUCUUAUA
rnacentral:rRNA from 1 species